UACGGAAGGGGCAAGCGUUGUUCGGAAUCAUUGGGCGUAAAGGGCGCGUAGGUGGUUCUGUAUGUCUACCGUGAAAGCAUACAGCUCAACUGUAUUUUGUCGGUAGAAACUGCAGGACUUGAGGCUGGGGAGGGGCUGGUGGAAUUCCCUGUGUAGCGGUGAAAUGCGUAGAGAUGGGGGGAGAACACUCGUGGCGAAGGCGGCCAGCUAGACCAGUUCUGACACUGAGGCGCGACAGCGUGGGGAGCAAACAGG
rnacentral:rRNA from 1 species